UCACCCAGUGACUACGAUGGAGAGAGACCGGUGCAAGGAAGGAGCUGAGUUUUUGAAAGAGGAAGAAACAGUCUGGAAAGGUCAGUGGUGAGGAGGACAUCUGCAGGCCCUGAGGGACAUGGCCCCGGGGAGGAAAGAGCGUGGACCUGUCCUCGGGGAGUGAGGGCCCUGUCUUGGAGGAGACGGACAGUAGAGGCCGGCCUCCCCUGAUGGCAGAGCAUGGGUUGCCUGUGGUGAUGAGGACGCAUGGGAGUCCCCGAGUUCUUCAUUUCUGUGUCCAUGUCCUGAACAGACUUCCAAAUUGGCUCCUGGAACCUACAGCCAUGGCUCAGGUUGCCAACCCUUUCUCCGCACUGGGCUGGCAACGCUGUCACAGAGCAUCACGUGACACCAGAACUGGCAGUGUCUCUCUCCUGCCACACAAGAGGGCAGCUGAGAUGAACUUGGGGCCGAGAGAUGGAGACAAAACCCUGACAGGGAUGCCCAGCCCCACGAUGCAGCUGUGUGUGAAGUCAGUGGCAUUCAUCCCGGACUUUUCAGUUCAGUGGCAUUUACAUUCUCAAGGCCGGCCAACCGUCACUUCUAUCCAGUUCCAGACAUUUUCGUCAUCCCAAAAGGAAACCCCAUGCUCAGUAAGCAAUCACUUUCUAUGCUCCCCUUCUGUCAACCCCUGGAAGCCACGAGUCUGCUUUCUGUCUCUAUGGCUUUCCCUAUUCUGGAAGUUUCACAUAAAUGGAAUCAUAUAAUAUGGAACCUU